rnacentral:rRNA from 1 species
UACGUAGGGUGCAAGCGUUAAUCGGAAUUACUGGGCGUAAGCGUGCGCAGGCGGCUUUGCAAGACAGAUGUGAAAUCCCCGGGCUCAACCUGGAACUGCAUUUGUGACUGCAUGGCUAGAGUACGGUAGAGGGGAUGGAAUUCCGCGUGUAGCAGUGAAAUGCGUAGAUAUGCGGAGGAACACCGAUGGCGAAGGCAAUCCCCUGGACCUGUACUGACGCUCAUGCACGAAAGCGUGGGGAGCAAACAGG